AGUGGGGAAUUUUCCGCAAUGGGCGAAAGCCUGACGGAGUGACGCCGCGUGGGGGACGAAGGCCUUCGGGUCGUAAACCCCUGUCAGAGGGAAAGAAGGGUCAUGUGGCUAAUAUCCACGUGAUCUGACGGUACCUUCAGAGGAAGCCCCGGCCAACUCUGUGCCAGCAGCCGCGGUAAGACAGAGGGGGCAAGCGUUGCUCGGAAUCACUGGGCGUAAAGGGCGCGUAGGCGGGAUGGCAAGUCAGUCGUGAAAUCUCUCGGCUCAACCGAGAAACGUCGGCUGAUACUGCCGUUCUUGAGGGAUGCAGAGGAGACUGGAAUUCCCGGUGUAGCGGUGAAAUGUGUAGAGAUCGGGAGGAACACCGGUGGCGAAGGCGGGUCUCUGGGCAUUUCCUGACGCUGAGGCGCGAAAGCGUGGGGAGCAAA
rnacentral:rRNA from 1 species